rnacentral:rRNA from 1 species
UACGUAGGGUGCGAGCGUUGUCCGGAAUUACUGGGCGUAAAGGGCUUGUAGGUGGUUUGUCGCGUUGUUCGUGAAAUGCCACAACUCAAUUGUGGGCGUGCGGGCGAUACGGGCAGACUGGAGUACUGCAGGGGAGACUGGAAUUCCUGGUGUAGCGGUGGAAUGCGCAGAUAUCAGGAGGAACACCGGUGGCGAAGGCAGGUCUCUGGGCCACUACUGACGCUGAGAAGCGAAAGCAUGGGGAGCGAACAGG